GAUGAACGCUGGCGGCGUGCCUAAUACAUGCAAGUCGAGCGAAUGGAUUAAGAGCUUGCUCUUAUGAAGUUAGCGGCGGACGGGUGAGUAACAAGUGGGUAACCUGCCCAUAAGACUGGGAUAAAUUCGCGAAACCGGGGCUAAUACCGGAUAACAUUUUGUACCGCAUGGUACGAAAAUGAAUGGCGGCUUCGGCUGGAAAUGAUGGAUGGAGCCGCGUCGCAUUAGCAGGUUGGUGAGGUAACGGCUAACCAAGGCAGCGAUGCGUAGCCGACCUGAGAGGGUGAUCGGCCACACUGGGACUGGGACACCGCCCAGACUCCUACGGGAGGCAGGAGUAGAGAAUCAUCCGCAAUGGACGAAAGUCUGACGGAGCAACGCCGCGUGAGUGGUGAAGGCUUUCGGGUCGUAAAGCUCUGUUGUUAGGGAAGAACAAGUGCUAGUUGAAUAAGCUGGCACCUUGACGGUACCUAACCAGAAAGCCACUGCUAACUACGUGCCAGCCGCCGCCGUAA
rnacentral:rRNA from 1 species